AGUUAAAUCCUUGUAAUAGCAAAGACAUUAAAGAAAAAAAAAAUGUCUGGUGUGUUUCUCCAGUAGUCACUAGGUGAGAGGCAGGGUACACCCUGGACAUGUCACCAGUCCAUCACAUAGUCCAACAUUUCCAUUUCCAUAAAUAAACAC